CCGCGCGCUCGCGGGCGGCGCGCGCGCGAGCGGGCCGUUCGCGGGCAACCGGUAUCUGUGGAUCGUGCCCGCGUGCGCGGC
rnacentral:tRNA from 1 species